rnacentral:rRNA from 1 species
GACGAACGCUGGCGGCGUGCUUAACACAUGCAAGUCGAACGGAAAGGCCCUGCUUUUGUGGGGUGCUCGAGUGGCGAACGGGUGAGUAACACGUGAGUAACCUGCCCUUGACUUUGGGAUAACUUCAGGAAACUGGGGCUAAUACCGGAUAGGAGCUCCUGCUGCACGGUGGGGGUUGGAAAGUUUCGGCGGUUGGGGAUGGACUCGCGGCUUAUCAGCUUGUUGGUGGGGUAGUUGCUUACCAAGGCUUUGACGGGUAGCCGGCCUGAGAGCGUGACCGGCGACAUUGGGACUGAGAUACGGACCAGAAUCCAACGGGAGGCAGCAGUGGGAAAUCUGGCACAGUGGGCGGAAGCCUGAUGCAGCAACGCCGCGUGCGGGAUGACGGCCUUCGGGUUGUAAACCGCUUUCGCCUGUGACGAAGCGUGAGUGACGGUAAUGGGUAAAGAAGCACCGGCUAACUACGUG